rnacentral:rRNA from 1 species
CAAUAGCGUAUAUUAAAGUUGUUGCAGUUAGAACGCUCGUAGUCGGAUUUCGGGGCAGUCCGACCGGUCUGCCGAUGGGUAUGCACUGGCCGGAGUGUCCUUUUUGCCGGAGACCGUGCCUACUCUUAACUGAGCGGGGGCGGGAGACGGCACUUUUACUUUGAAAAAAUCAGAGUGUUUCAAGCAGGCAGCUCGCUCUUGCAUGGAUUAGCAUGGGAUAAUGAAAUAGGACUUUGGUGCUAUUUUGUUGGUUUCGAACACCGAAGUAAUGAUGAGAAGGGACAGUCAGGGGCACUCGUAUUCCGCAGAGAGAGGUGAAAUUCUCAGACCCGCGGAAGACGAACCACUGCGAAAGCAUUUGCCAGGGAUGUUUNCACUG